rnacentral:rRNA from 1 species
UACGGAGGAUGCAAGCGUUAUCCGGAAUGAUUGGGCGUAAAGCGUCCGCAGGUGGCUAUGUAAGUCUGCUGUUAAAGAGUCUAGCCCAACUAGAUAAGAGCAGUGGAAACUACAAGGCUAGAGUACGUUCGGGGCAGAGGGAAUUCCUGGUGUAGCGGUGAAAUGCGUAGAGAUCAGGAAGAACACCAGUGGCGAAGGCGCUCUGCUAGGCCGUAACUGACACUGAGGGACGAAAGCUAGGGGAGCGAAUGGG